UUAUUAUUUCCCAAGAUUAUAUUUGAGUUCUUAUUGCACAAUUUAGGUGGAGGGAAAAGAAGGGACUCUUCUAGGGGCCUAAGCCAUUGAUGAGAUAUCACCAUAGAAGAGUUAGAAUUCCAACCUUGUGUCAUGACCUACAAGCCAAGGAAAAAUCUCAAUAAGACAAUUUUUAUGGGGUGUAGGCCUCUCAAAAAGUAACAGAGGCAUGUAAAGAUUUUCUCAGGGUGGAUGAAAAAUGGUCCUUGAGUGUAAAAGGCAAAAGAUAGCUUGAGUACAAGACCUGUCUAUCAAGUACAAAUAAAAUUCAGCCCUAGUUUCGUGUAAUGAUUAAGACAUCAAUGUUUAAA
rnacentral:ncRNA from 1 species